UACGGAGGGUGCAAGCGUUAAUCGGAAUUACUGGGCGUAAAGCGUGCGCAGGCGGUUUGUUAAGUCUGUUAUGAAAUCCCCGAGCUCAACUUGGGAAUUGCAAUGGAUACUGGCAGGCUGGAGUAUGGUAGAGGAAGGUGGAAUUCCCGGUGUAGCAGUGAAAUGCGUAGAGAUCGGGAGGAACACCAGUGGCGAAGGCGGCCUUCUGGACCAAUACUGACGCUCAUGCACGAAAGCGUGGGGAGCAAACAGG
rnacentral:rRNA from 1 species